AUGGCUCACAGGGCGUGUCCCGGGAAGGAAGGAAGGAAGGAAGGAAGGAAGGAGGGAGGGGCUAGGUCUUCAACUCAUGGUGGUUCUACAACUCAAGCCAGAGACCUAGGGGAAAAGUUCAAAUACCUAAACCUUCGCGAGGAUGAAGAGGAGGACGUCGUUCUAGAGGAUGAUCUCGAAGAGAUGGAGAAGGAUGCUAAAUUUAUGACACUGGCCAGGAUUCAUACCACACAUACCUUUAGCCAUGGUGCCUUCUUUGGUGCCAUGCGAUCUGCGUGGAACCUUGCACAAGAAGUGGGAGUUAGGGCUAUCAAAGACAACCUUUUCUCAGUGCAACAGAAUUGUUUGGCAGACUCGGAGUGUGUGAUGCGCGACGAUCCAUGGUUAUUCCGUAAUUGUCCAGUGUUGUUGGCUAGCUAUGAUGGUUGGUCCGAACCGGAAGAUACAGACUUGUUCACAUAUCAGGCAUGGGGUAAGAGUCAUGGGAUUAAAGGAAAAAAAUGCACAUUGGGAGCAUCGCGUCGCGGCUGGCCACGAAAGCGGGCGUGGUGGAAUUUGUGGACGAGCGGUCAGUGA
rnacentral:rRNA from 1 species